rnacentral:rRNA from 1 species
CCUACGGGUGGCAGCAGUGGGGAAUAUUGGGCAAUGGGCGCAAGCCUGACCCAGCAACGCCGCGUGAAGGAAGAAGGCUUUCGGGUUGUAAACUUCUUUUGUCAGGGAAGAGUAGAAGACGGUACCUGACGAAUAAGCUACGGCUAACUACGUGCCAGCAGCCGCGGUAAUACGUAGGUGGCAAGCGUUGUACGGAUUUACUGGGUGUAAAGGGCGUGUAGCCGGGUUGACAAGUCAGAUGUGAAAUCCUGCGGGUUAACCGCAGAACUGCAGUUGAAACUGUUGAUCUUGAGUACUGGAGAGGCAGACGGAAUUCCUAGUGUAGCGGUGAAAUGCGUAGAUAUUAGGAGGAACACCAGUGGCGAAGGCGGUCUGCUGGACAGCAACUGACGGUGAGGCGCGAAAGCGUGGGGAGCAAACAGGAUUAGAUACCCGGGUAGUC